rnacentral:rRNA from 1 species
UACGUAGGGUCCGAGCGUUGCUCGGAAUCACUGGGCGUAAAGCGCACGUAGGCGGAUUGCUAAGUCAGGGUGAAUCCUGGAGCUCAACUCCAGAACUGCCUUUGAUACUGGCGACCUUGAGUCCGGAGAGGUGAGUGGAACUGCGAGUGUAGAGGUGAAAUUCGUAGAUAUUCGCAAGAACACCAGUGGCGAAGGCGGCUCACUGGCCCGGUACUGACGCUGAGGUGCGAAAGCGUGGGAGCAACAGG